GUGUGCAGUGGUGCGAUCACAGCUCUCUGCAGCCUUGACCUCCUGGGCUCAAGUGACCUCCUGCCUCAGCCUCUCGAGUAGCUAGGACUACAAGUGUGAGCCGCUGCACCCAGCCUAGGUCAAAAUUUAAGGGAGGCAUGAAACAUGGAUCCCACAAGAUUUGCCUGACUCCACUUGACAGUCGGUCUGCUCCAAUCCGCUGUCUCUUGGACACUUGCUCUUCUCUCCAGAGGCCAUCUGGGUUGGAGGAGAGAAAGGCCCCCUGCCUUCCUGAGAAUGGUCCAUGCACCCCACCUAGCCCCGCUCUGCCACAAAGUGCCAUUGUGCUGCUCUUUGUCCCCCAGCUGUGAAUUACAUUCAGUGUACCUCCCACACAUCAGUGAGGGCCUCGGGGCAACCUGGUUGAUUUUUAUUUUGAUGA
rnacentral:lncRNA from 10 species